rnacentral:sRNA from 1 species
ACAGAGCCAAGAGCUUUAUUUAGCUGCCCCGAAAUCCCACAGACCUGGACGGUGCUCCUGAGCUGGUGUCCUUGCUGUGGAAGAGGACAAAAGCUGGUGACCAGGCUGGCAGGACGGCCA